rnacentral:rRNA from 1 species
AUAGGAGGUCCAGCCUGCCCAGUGACUACGGGUUCAACGGCCGCGGUAUUUUGACCGUGCAAAGGUAGCGCAAUCACUUGUCUUUUAAAUAGAGACCUGUAUGAAUGGCUAAACGAGGGCUUAACUGUCUCCCCCUUCAAGUCAGUGAAAUUGAUCUAUCCGUGCAGAAGCGGGUAUAAAAAUACAAGACGAGAAGACCCUUUGGAGCUUAAGGUACAAAAUUCAACCACGUCAAGAAAUUCAAUAAAAAACAAAAACUUAGUGGAUUAUGAACUUUUACCUUCGGUUGGGGCGACCACGGAGGAAAAACAAGCCUCCGAGUGGAAUGGGUUAAAUACCUAAAACUAAGAGAAACAUCUCUAAGCCACAGAAAAUCUGACCAAAAAUGAUCCGGCUUAAUGCCGAUCAACGAACCAAGUUACCCUAGGGAUAACAGCGCAAUCCUCUCCCAGAGUCCAUAUCGACGAGAGGGUUUACGACCUCGAUGUUGGAUCAGGACAUCCUAAUGGUGCAGCCGCUAUUAAGGGUUCGUUUGUUCAACGAUUAAAGUCC